AUUGAACGCUGGCGGCAUGCUUUACACAUGCAAGUCGAACGGUAACAGGCCGCAAGGUGCUGACGAGUGGCGAACGGGUGAGUAAUGCAUCGGAACGUGCCCAGUCGUGGGGGAUAACGCAGCGAAAGCUGCGCUAAUACCGCAUACGAUCUAUGGAUGAAAGCGGGGGACCGUAAGGCCUCGCGCGAUUGGCGCGGCCGAGGUCAGAUUAGGUAGUUGGUGGGGUAAAGGCUCACCAAGCCAACGAUCUGUAGCUGGUCUGAGAGGACGACCAGCCACACUGGGACUGAGACACGGCCCAGACUCCUACGGGAGGCAGCAGUGGGGAAUUUUGGAUAAUGGGCGCAAGCCUGAUCCAGCAAUGCCGCGUGCAGGAAGAAGGCCUUCGGGUUGUAAACUGCUUUUGUACGGAACGAAAAGGCUCUGGAUAAUACCUGGGGCUCAUGACGGUACCGUAAGAAUAAGCACCGGCUAACUACGUGCCAGCCGCCGCCGUAACAC
rnacentral:rRNA from 1 species